rnacentral:lncRNA from 1 species
UCCCCAGCCGGACCGAGCCGCUGGGCAGCCCUGCGAAAGGGGGUCUGGCUCAAGUCCAAGCACAAGCCGGGGUCCCGUGCACGUACUGCCUCCCCCGCGAUCUAGUUCUUACUGGCUUAGGUGGCGUAGACGCGGCCCCGGGGGAAUAGAGCCGCCCACCUCCCCUUUCACCAAAUGGAUGGAGAUGGAAAUUGGUGCAGAGAAGUGGGGCGAUGCUGUAACAAACACCUGCGAAGUGCGGACGUGGCUCUGGAACCGGGUCGGCAGAGGCCGGAGGCGUUCUGAGGAGCUGGAGAAAGCGCACAGCUGUGCAUGGACCCGUAGUGUGGGAAUGUGUCAGCGUUGUACCUGGGAAGCACAUCACUUGUGUGGCUUCAGAGGUUCCCAGCCGGAGAGGAGUCCGCUUCAGGAGGAAUCCUACCUCUGGUCCAGCUUUGGCCUUUUAGAGGCGUGAUCCUGGCGUUCCGGAAAGGAGUCCCUCAUCGGGCUCCUCCGCUGGGAGCCUGCUUCUUCCUCUCCCACUCCCCCUGCUGUGUUCCCUCUCUCGCUGGCUGUAUCUCUGUCAAAUAAAUAAAAUCUUUAAAAAAAAAAAAAAAGAUGG